rnacentral:sRNA from 1 species
CACACCAGAGCCCGUACUUCUGGACAAGUACCCUGUGGCCGGCUGCAGAGCUGGACUAUGCCAUCUACCUGGCCAAGAAGAACAUCCGAAAACGGGGGACCCUGGUGGACUAUGAGAAGGACUGCUAUGACCGGCUACACAAGAAGAUCAACCACGUGUGGGACCUGGUGCUGAUGCAGGCGAGGGAGCAGCUGCGGGCAGCCAAGCAGCGCAGGAAGGGGGACAGGCUGGUCAUUGAGUGCCAGGAGCAGACCUACUGGCUGGUGAACAGGCCCCCGCCCGGAGCCCCCAGUGUGCUGGAGCAGGGUCCAGGGCGGGGAUCCUGCGCUGCCAGCCGUGUGCUCAUGACCAAGAGUGCAGAUUUCUAUAAGCGGGAGGUAAGUUCUGGAGCUGGGAGUGGAGGGUGCCAGGUGCCUUCCCCAGACCAGGAUCUGACUCACAGGCCCCACAUCCUAGAUCGAGUACUGCAGGAGAGCGCUGGGCAGGACCCGAGUGAAGUCCUCCGUCUGCCUUGAGGCGUACCUGAGUUUCUGCAGCCAGCAUAGACCCCACGACCCCCUCGUGUCGGGGUGCCUGCCCAGCAAUCCCUGGAUCUCAGACAACGACACCUACUGGGUCAUGAAUGCCCCCACGGUGGCUGCCCCCACGAAGCUCCGUGUGGAGAGAUGGGGCUUCAGCUUCCGGGAGCUCCUAGAAGACCCUGUGGGGCGGGCCCACUUCACAGACUUUCUGGGAAAGGAGUUCAGUGGAGAAAACCUCAGUUUCUGGGAGGCAUGUGAGGAGCUUCGAUAUGGAGCGCAGGCCCAGGUCCCCACCCUGGUGGAGGCCGUGUACGAGCAGUUCCUGGCCCC